rnacentral:rRNA from 1 species
CUACGGGGGGCUGCAGUGGGGAAUAUUGGACAAUGGGCGCAAGCCUGAUCCAGCAAUGCCGCGUGAGUGAUGAAGGCCCUAGGGUUGUAAAGCUCUUUUACCCGGGAAGAUAAUGGCUGUACCGGGAGAAUAAGCCCCGGCUAACGUCCGUGCCAGCAGCCGCGGUAAUACGGAGGGGGCUAGCGUUGUUCGGAAUUACUGGGCGUAAAGCGCACGUAGGCGGUUUGUAAGUCAGAGGUGAAAGCCUGGAGCUCAACUCCAGAACUGCCUUUGAGACUGCAUCGCUUGAAUCCAGGAGAGGUCAGUGGAAUUCCGAGUGUAGAGGUGAAAUUCGUAGAUAUUCGGAAGAACACCAGUGGCGAAGGCGGCUGACUGGACUGGUAUUGACGCUGAGGUGCGAAAGCGUGGGGAGCAAACAGGAUUAGAUACCCUCGUAGUC